UUCCACUAUUACAUGAUAUUACAUGAUGUGUGAGAGUAAGCCUUGCAUUUAAAUAAAGUGCAAUAGAGGAGAGAUUCUUGGUAGCAAUAUCUAUCUUUUGUUCUUCUAAGUAACUCAACUUAAUGGCUCUCUAUGGAAAGCUGGAGAACUGAUGUAGAAAUGAAGGCUCUAGCCGAAAAAUUUCAUGAAAUAAUUCAUAAAACGCCUCACCAUCUUUCCAAUAUCUGUCCAGAUAAAGUAAAAAGUUGCAGUUAUAUGAAGGCGAAGAAUGGGGCGAAGUUGGCAUUAUCCUCUAUUUGCACUACAUUUUUGAAGGGAAGCCUUGUGUGUCAAAGAGGUUAAUAGAAGCUGUGGAUGAGAAGAACAAUUCAUUAACGUGGAAAGAGAUAGAGGGGGACGUUUUAAAGCACUUCAAGAGCUUGAGAUUUAUAAUCCAAUGUACCCCGAAGGAUAAGGGAAGUGUUGCUCACAUUACUUUGGAUUAUGAGAAGCUGCAUGAAGGAAUUCCAGAUGCACAUAGUUUUCUGCAGCUUUGUGCUGAUACCGCCAAAGACAUUGAUGCUUACCUUAUGGGAUACAAUAAUGGUUCGCGUAUAAGUGCUAAGGCAUGAGCAACAAGUCUCUAUCAACACCCCUAGCUCUUGGGUGGUACUAUUACUAUGUUGGAAUAAUAAUUGGCUAUUAUACUAUGUUGCUAAUUAGUGUUUUAUACUUAAAUAAUGCUCGUUAAUACAUAUAGUAUGCUGUGAUUUAGCAUGUUCCAUGGCAUCUUUAGUGGGAGAUGAUGUUUAUUGUGAAAUAUUAUAAGCUAAAUCUUUGUAUGCUUCUAAUAAAAUGGGAAUAAAGUUU